AGUGAACGCUGGCGGUAGGCCUAACACAUGCAAGUCGAACGGCAGCACAGUAAGAGCUUGCUCUUACGGGUGGCGAGUGGCGGACGGGUGAGGAAUACAUCGGAAUCUACUUUUUCGUGGGGGAUAACGUAGGGAAACUUACGCUAAUACCGCAUACGACCUACGGGUGAAAGCAGGGGAUCUUCGGACCUUGCGCGAUUGAAUGAGCCGAUGUCGGAUUAGCUAGUUGGCGGGGUAAAGGCCCACCAAGGCGACGAUCCGUAGCUGGUCUGAGAGGAUGAUCAGCCACACUGGAACUGAGACACGGUCCAGACUCCUACGGGAGGCAGCAGUGGGGAAUAUUGGACAAUGGGCGCAAGCCUGAUCCAGCCAUACCGCGUGGGUGAAGAAGGCCUUCGGGUUGUAAAGCCCUUCUGUUGGGAAAGAAGAGCAGCAGGUUAAUACCCCGCUGUUCUGACGGUACCCAAAGAAUAAGCACCGGCUAACUUCGUG
rnacentral:rRNA from 1 species